rnacentral:lncRNA from 1 species
UGGUAUGUUUCAGUCCUCUUCCCUAUUAUUUAGAAAAAAUGAGCUAGUGAUUCAGGUAUAAGAUGCUAUGAUUAUCGUUUAGAUAAUUAGACAUCCAACUCGUCGUUGCAAUGACCCAAUUGCAAGAGCAGAGCUCUACCAAUUGAGAUAUAUUUAAGGGUGGCAAUUAGAUCAGAUCGGAUUGGAUAUAGGUCGGAUCAAUGCGGGUC